rnacentral:rRNA from 1 species
UACGUAGGGGGCAAGCGUUGUCCGGAAUCAUUGGGCGUAAAGAGCGUGUAGGCGGCCCGAUUAGUCCGCUGUGAAAGUCCAGGGCUCAACCCUGGAAUGCCGGUGGAUACUGUCGGGCUAGAGUCCGGAAGGGGCGAGUGGAAUUCCUGGUGUAGCGGUGAAAUGCGCAGAUAUCAGGAGGAACACCAAUGGCGAAGGCAGCUCGCUGGGACGUGAACUGACGCCUGGAGACGCGAAAGCGUGGGGAGCAAACAGG